CAGGUGAGACGCGGCCCUCCUUCGCCCGGGGGGUCCCCCCUGUACAUCUGGCACCCACCUCACAGGUGAACCUUCCCGCUCCUCGAUGAUGACGGGAGGGAAGAUGAAGGAAAGAAAAUUAAGGAAAAGAGGAAAACAAGCAAAAAAACUCAGCAGAGAUGUCAUUGCAUAAUAGUCCAUU
rnacentral:lncRNA from 12 species